rnacentral:tRNA from 1 species
GGUGGCUCAGUGGUAGAGUACUUGUCUCAUAUACAUGAGACCCUAGGUUCAAUUCCUUGGCACCA